UCUUGUUGUUGGUGCUAUCGUCAUCGGAUAUGAAUGAUCUAUUUCUUAACUUUCUUACAUUGGGAUAAUCUGUUCUGACAAAGCCUCAUUUAAAUGCUUGAGAUCUGAAGAACGUUACGUCUGCCGAUGAAUGAGAUCCGAGGUAUUUGGAGAAACGAUCGUGAUUACGAAGUUCUUGUCGAGUUGCCCUAAUCACGCUGGCAUCUUAGAAACGAAUAAAGUAUCUGGAUGUCUGUAGUCUACAUAUCACAGAGAAUCCAUGUGAACGCAGAAAGACAUUAAAACUGGAUCGGUAGAAUCUGUAUUUCAUCAGAUAAUACGAGUGAGUGAGUGAUGACCACAUUUUUCUUACACAGGAGUACCGUACAAAGAAUUAAAAAAAUAACAAACAAUUUCAAUUAGAACUGAAUACAACUCUUUA